UGCCUUUGAGUGUCUGCAAUGGCAAGUGA
rnacentral:piRNA from 1 species